rnacentral:pre_miRNA from 1 species
CAUGGGGGGGAGGGGUGUUCCUCAGCCCGGAUUGUGACAGGGCAUAGGCAAGGCCGAGGGACCCCACUGGUGCACA